AGGGAACUGAAAGGACGACCUUCGGGAGCCUAUACAGGUGUUGCAUGGCUGUCGUCAGCUCGUGUCGUGAGAUGUUCGGUUAAGUCCGCUAACGAGCGCAACCCUCGUCGUAUGUUAUAUGUGUCAUACGAGACUGCCGGUAAAAAGCCGGAGGAAGGUGAGGAUGAUGUCAAGUCAGCAUGACCUUUAUAUCCAGGGCUACACACACGCUACAAUGGUCUGUACAAUGGGUAGCCAAGCCGCGAGGCGGAGCCAAUCCUGAAAGCAGGCCUCAGUUCAGAUUGCAGUCUGCAACUCGACUGCAUGAAGCCGGAGUUGCUAGUAACCGCAGGUCAGCAAUACUGCGGUGAAUACGUUCCCGGGUCUU
rnacentral:rRNA from 1 species